rnacentral:rRNA from 1 species
UGGGGAAUUUUGGACAAUGGGCGAAAGCCUGAUCCAGCAAUGCCGCGUGAGUGAAGAAGGCCUUCGGGUUGUAAAGCUCUUUUGUCAGGGAAGAAACGGUGAGGGCUAAUAUCCCUUGCUAAUGACGGUACCUGAAGAAUAAGCACCGGCUAACUACGUGCCAGCAGCCGCGGUAAUACGUAGGGGGCAAGCGUUAAUCGGAAUUACUGGGCGUAAAGCGUGCGCAGGCGGUUUUGUAAGUCUGAUUUGAAAUCCCCGGGCUCAACCUGGGAAUUGCAUUGGAGACUGCAAGGCUAGAAUCUGGCAGAGGGGGGUAGAAUUCCACGUGUAGCAGUGAAAUGCGUAGAUAUGUGGAGGAACACCGAUGGCGAAGGCAGCCCCCUGGGUCAAGAUUGACGCUCAUGCACGAAAGCGUGGGGAGCAAACA